rnacentral:rRNA from 1 species
CACGUAGGGGGCAAGCGUUGUCCGGAUUUAUUGGGCGUAAAGAGCUCGUAGGCGGCUCAGUAAGUCAGGUGUGAAACCUCCAGGCUCAACCUGGAGACGCCACCUGAUACUGCUGUGGCUAGAGUCCGGUAGGGGAGCGUGGAAUUCCUGGUGUAGCGGUGAAAUGCGCAGAUAUCAGGAAGAACACCCGUGGCGAAGGCGGCUCUCUGGGACGGUACUGACGCUGAGACGCGAAAGCGUGGGGAGCGAACAGG